rnacentral:rRNA from 1 species
CAGCCGCCGCGGUAAUACGAAGGGUGCAAGCGUUAAUCGGAAUUACUGGGCGUAAAGCGUGCGUAGGCGGUGAGUUAAGUCUGCUGUGAAAUCCCCGGGCUCAACCUGGGAAUGGCAAUGGAUACUGGCAAGCUAGAGUGUGUCAGAGGAUGGUGGAAUUCCCGGUGUAGCGGUGAAAUGCGUAGAGAUCGGGAGGAACAUCAGUGGCGAAGGCGGCCAUCUGGGACAACACUGACGCUGAGGCACGAAAGCGUGGGGAGCAAACAGGAUUAGAUACCCGGGUAGUCCCUGUCUCUUAUAA